CACGGGUUUUGAUUUUUAAAGCUGUGAGUGGAGAGAAUUUUCAAGCGAUUUUGUCGUGUAGCGGGACUGAGAAAGGGUAAGAAAUGAGAAGGAGAAGAGUUUAGGGUAGGUAUACAGUAAGUAGGAUACGAAAAGCUUUGUAUUUGUAUCAGUAUCUGUAUUAGCAUAACUGCAUAAGAAUUAAGAACAGGAGAUUGCUUACGCAUAUUCACAGAUUGGAUAGGUGAAUCGUGGGUUGGUCGAGAAUCUGAUUGCCCAAGAUUUGAGCUUUUCACGGUUAGUUCAACUGUUCCGCUAUCCCAUGACCAUGAUUUGGACUCUUUAACACUCCAUCUUUGUUGCUUUGAUUUUCAUUGAUUUCAUAGCUUGGUUUUACCUUUCAAGCACCAAAGCUUUUGAAUUGUUGAGAAAUUUGAACAAAAGCACUUUGCUUUUCGCCGUUUUUGAUUGAAAAAGGUUUCAUUUCCGGGGCUAGUGGUUAUGAUGAUGCAGCAUGGGCGGCGGUGGAUCUGAGAGACUACAAAAUUCAAAUCUUUCUGGAGACCUAUCAUCAAAUUUCUGAUUUUCAUCCAAAUUUGACGGUAUCAAGAAGAAAUUAAGUAAAAGUAACGAAAAGAGUAGCCCCUAUUUGAUUACAACGACUGUCAUCUUCACAUGUUGAUUGAUUUAUUCCUUCUGAGGCAUGCCAUGUACCUUAUCAUCUAGAUUCUAGGGUUGUAUAUACAUAUAUUCAAUAUGCAUGCAAGGCAUAGGAGUCCUGGAAAUGGUUACAGGUCAGGUUCAGUUGGGAUGGGGUUAGAUGGUGGUUCUCUUGGAGGUCAUGGCUUUUACAAUUCCGACUACAGGAGCUUCAACCGUGGUGGUUUUGGCCAGGCCCACCAAAAAUCUUACCAACAGCAACAGCAACAGCGACCGCCACCGCCACCACAUCCUCCCCAGAAAGGUGACAUUUUUAUGGAGGCGGGCAGGCUUGCAGCUGAGUAUAUGGUCUCUCAAGGUCUGCUGCCUCCCAGCGCACUCUCUGCUAAAUGGCAGAAUGGUGGUUUAAAGGAGUUUAGGUCUCAGGAGGGUGAUAAUUUGGAGAGCAGGACAUCAGCCCUUGCACGAUUGGGCAGUACUGGUUCUGAUGUAGGUUCUGGCAGGAUAAGACACCCUGAUGAAUUUGAGACCAGGAAUUAUGUCAAAGGAAGGAAGAGAAGGGGGGUUUAUCAUGGGUUUGGGUCUGAUUUGUCUCGAGACUGUGGGUGGAGUAGGUCAUGGUCUGGUAGGGAUAGGGGGGAGUUUGUUGUAGAGGGGGGUGAUGAUGAUAAUAUUUCCGAGAGGCAUCAAGAAGAGCAGCAAGGUACUAAGGAUGUUGGUAAUAGUUUUCCUGGGUGCAGCUCAGUGGAUUCUUUGCCCAAGGUUGAGGAAAUUGGUAAUGCCGAAUCUGGACAGGAGAAGCAUAAUAGUUCGGAAGAAAUGGAGUCCAAGUUGACUACUUCAAAUGUUCUUAAAGAUAUUCUACAUGAGAAUGAUUGGCCAACCUCCAAUGUUGUUGGAGAAGUGACAAAUGCAAGUGUGGUGGCUGAUGAGACGAAGGAUGCUGCUAGCCAUAAUGGAAGUGAGAAACAGGUUGCACGGGUAGACUCACCCAUUCAGCAGUGUCCUCCAAAGGCUGCUUCCUCAAGCAAGAAUGACACUGAUUUAUUGGCACUGUGCAAAUUUGCUAAAAUGCCAAAAAAAAGACGAUCUUCCUUGACACAUAGUAGGAAUUCAAAGGUUGAUCAUGUUCCUGAUAAAGAGGAGAACAAUUCUGACAGUGGGACCCUAGUAGGAUCUCAAGUUUUGGUUAAUGAUAACUCCCUGGACAUCUCACCCGUUACUGUACAAUCAGAUAAACAUAAUCAUACUGAAGGCCCUGACUUGGAAACUUCUAAACGGCGGUCUGUUCAUUCUGUUGAGGAUGUUGGAGACUUAAGUCCAUCAUAUUCUGUUGAGCUGGGCAAAUGUACAAGGUCCCCAUCUUUCCCUGAUAGAGGAUUUAUGCAUGAAGACUACGGAGUAGCAGGCGAGGUAAUGUCAGGACUUGAAAGGUCUGGCAUCAUGAAUGGAGAGAGAAGUGAGAAGCGAGCUAACGAAGACAGUGAUAACAGGGAGGGAAGCAAGAAACCAAAAGAAUGGCUUUCAUCUGUGAUUGACAAGUCUGAUGAGUAUUUCCAGCCUUCCAGUUUGAGCAAUAACAAAGUGUAUUCACAAGAAGAGGGACCUUUGCCUAAGGAGAACGCCAACCUAACUAAUCCUGAAUCAAGCAUGUUGAAUGGUUCUCAGUUUCCAGAAAGUGAAGCAUCUGUUGAGUAUGCACAGGAGAAACAGCUCUUGCCAAGUUCAUUUAAGACCUGCGAUCUUAAUCUCAUGGAAGUGUCUGAUAUGAAUGAGAGCCAUCACAGUGAUCCAAUGCUUAUGUACCCCUCCAUUCCUGAAGCCAAAAAAGAAGCGGCACCUAUUGGUGUUGAUUUAUCCAUAAGUAAUUCCAAUUUAUGCAGCGAUUACUGUUUGCGAACAAGUGAUGGCAAGGAGAUUGAAGUAAUUGACUUAGAGAUUGAUUUGAUGCCUGACGACAAGGCUUUUGAUAGGUUACAAAGAAAGAUGGAGCCUGUGUUUCCUGGCUUGGAGGGCUUUUCCAACAAUGCCGAAAAUGCUAGCAAUAUUCCUGAUGUUGAUGAUAAUUAUGAUGGGCUUUUACUAUCUGAAUACUUGAACGCUUUUCAAAACUGUGCUUCAAUACCAGAGGACAUCAACCCAUUGCAGAAUGAGAUGACUCUUCAUAAUGGCGAGGUACCACUGAAAAUGGUGACUCUUGCUGAUGAUGACUCAAUCUAUACUUCCCUGGGAGAAAUACCACUAAGUAUGCCAGAUAUUUAAUUUCAUGGUUUCAAAGGUGAUGCAAGCUACUCAAGCUUCACAGACAUGUAGUGAGCCUUCUAUAUACCGCAAAGUUCCAGGCGCUUUUUUUUUUAGGACGAAUACUCUAGCAAGUGCAUGGAUAAAGGAAGAAGGGCGAGGCCUGGUUUUUUUCCUUAAAUUUCUUAACCGAAGAUGAAGGUUCUGAUAUAUUAGCAGUUGAGUGUAUUCGGAUGGAAUUGUUCCAGAAAAUGUAUAGAGGUUGAUAAUACUUUUCUUGUUAUGGGACUGCCAAACUGUAUUUCCAUUUGGAUGUUAGGAAUGUUAAUUUUAGAUUGAGAGCUCAACUGAUUCAAAUAGUCAUAAUCCCGCGCGAUGCUUAAUAGUAGUUGCCAAUGUGUGUUUACGAUGUCA